GCCGCGAUAGCUCAGCUGGUAGAGCGCUGGACUGAAAAUCCAUAUGUCGUCAGUUCGACUCUGACUCGUGGCA
rnacentral:tRNA from 1 species